rnacentral:rRNA from 1 species
UACAGAGGUGGCAAGCGUUGUUCGGAAUUACUGGGCGUAAAGGGCGCGUAGGCGGCCAUCUAAGUCAGACGUGAAAUCCCCCGGCUUAACCUGGGAACUGCGUCUGAUACUGGAAGACUUGAGUAUGGGAGAGGGAUGUAGAAUUCCAGGUGUAGCGGUGAAAUGCGUAGAUAUCUGGAGGAAUACCGGUGGCGAAGGCGGCAUCCUGGACCAUUACUGACGCUGAGGCGCGAAAGCUAGGGGAGCAAACGGG